AGUCUUGUAGUUUAAUAAAAAACUUUAAAUUGCAAAUUUAAUAACGACAAUAAAAUAUCUAAGACUUA
rnacentral:tRNA from 1 species